AGUGGUGCAGCCAGUGACACCCCCUCAGUGUCCCCGUGCGCUUGACGGUUGGGUGCCCUCAUCCCUGAUUGGACGAGCAGGUAACCCCCACCCUGCCCCCCCCCCGGACAAAACGAAGCAUGACUUGACAUCCGCUCUGCAGCAGUUAAGGAAGGCAAGCAGAAAGAGCUGAGCUGAGCCGAGCCGAGCCGAGCCUACCUGGUAAUCUCGAAGCUGCAGCCCUUGCGGAGGAGCAGCGCUCUCUUCCGCAUGAUGCCUUUGUCUCUGCCGAGACAGGACAAAAAGGUUUGGUGAGGGAGCCGACGAGCGCGCACCGUCGCCGGCCAGUCAACGCCUCCAUGCGAGCUUUCGGGGAACUGAGGAGUGAGGCUGAG